rnacentral:misc_RNA from 1 species
AAGUCGUAACAAGGUUUCCGUAGGUGAACCUGCGGAAGGAUCAUUACCGAACGAUGUGCACCUUCUUGUGGUGGACCAUUGCAUUGCAUUGCUGCUUGUGGCAUGCCAUGCCAUGCCCUUUGGUCUGCUACGUCUUUCAUCAAUCAAACCUGUUCAUUGCAUGUUGGAGUGGCAACCUUUUGUGGGGUAGUUGCUCCUUAAAUGUGGAAAUGUCAAUAUAACUUUCAACAACGGAUCUCUUGGCUCUC